rnacentral:lncRNA from 1 species
UAUGUUGCCAGGUUCUUCCAAGGCUAUCCCAACACUAUUUCUUUUCACGUUUGAGGCGCUAUCUACAGAUAAUGCAAACUCUAGAAAACAUAGAAAUGGAAAAUCAUAAAAUCAUACAAAAUAUAUUAAAAAUGAAAUGUACAAAAUACAUUUAAACUUACAUGUGUACGACGUAUCAACAAAAAUAUUAGUCGAAAAAAAUAUCAAACAAUAAAGAAGUUGUUAAUAAAAAACUAUAAAAAACUAAAAAAAAAAGAAUAAGUGUAAACGAAUAGGCAAAAUGAUAGUAGGAAAAAAUAUUAAUAAUGUUAAAAAAAAUAUAAAUGGAAUGAAUAGAAAAUGGAAAAAAAAGGAGGGAAGAUGUAAUUAU